ACUCCAGUUCCUCAUCUUUGUGUUGGCUUCUUUCCAUUCCUUUUCAUGCAUACUCAUUUUUGGGUUAGGAAUGGCCAAGAUGAGGAGAUGGGAGAAUUGGGAGGCUGAAACAAGAACCCUUGAAUACCAAUUUUCAAAGGAUCCAAGAAGGUUCCAGCUCACCCAUCAAACAUCAUUUGGCAAGAGGCAUCUCAGAUAUUGGACUGAACACAGCCUUCUUCGAUGGCCGACAUGUUUUCUGAGGCAGUUUUAUGGAUCUGUCUCAAAAGUGGAUUAUCUCACUCUCAGACAUGGGUUCAUUACGGCACAUUUCGAACAAGGUACCAACUUUGAUUUCCAGAAAUACAUAAAAAGAGCUUUGGAAAAAGACUUUGGGGUGGUGGUGGGGAUAAGUUUCUGGAUUUGGAUACUCUCUGUUUUUUACAUAUUCUUCAAUGCGCGUAAAUUUCAUAGUUAUUUAUGGCUUCCAUUCAUACCUUUAGUGUUGUUACUGUUGGUGGGUACAAAACUGCAAGGCAUCAUAACUUCAAUGUGCUUAGAUAGCCAUGACAAAUCUCAUGUUGUUAGGGGAACUUUGCUGGUUAAGCCUAGUGAUCAUUUUUUCUGGUUUAGCAGCCCCAAAUUGCUCCUCUACCUCAUACACUUCAUACUGUUUCAGAACUCCUUUCAACUGGCAUUCUUCACCUGGACUUGGUUCAAAUUCGGUCUAAGAUCAUGCUUCCACCGAGAAACAGAGGAUAUUGUCAUAAGGCUUGCCAUGGGAGUGUUGGUACACUUCCUUUGUGGCUAUGUAAUACUUCCUCUAUAUGCUCUGGUCACACAGAUGGGCACUUCGAUGAGGAAAAGUGUUUUCCCAGAUGAUGUGGUAAUCGGUCUUAAGAGAUGGCGAGCCAGGGCCAGGAAAAACCUGAAAGCAUCCUACUCAACUGGUCCUCCAUCGCUUGAUGCUUCCCUUCGAUCCCUUGACAGUUCACCGUCAUUCAGCCUCGAUGCCUCGUUCACUGUAGACUUAGGUAGCUCCUCGGACUCUGAACAUGUUGCCAUUGAAGUGAUGAAUGAAGGGGAAGAAAAAGAAGAAGAAAAAGGCAAGGAGAAACAACCCGAGGAGAGUCAAAGAAAUGAUUCUUUUGAUGGGUUUGAUUCCAAUUUGACCAGUGCAACAUUAGUUUUAGAAAAGCAGAGCAAUUCUUGAGUUCUAGCACUUUUAUUGUAUAGAAAUGGAAAAUAUAAAGUAUUUGUUAUCUGCAGUGAUUUUGUCAUUCAUAAUUAUUUUGUUUGUUUCUAUGAUAGUGAAAUUUUCUACACUGUUAUAA
rnacentral:misc_RNA from 1 species